rnacentral:rRNA from 1 species
GACGAACGCUGGCGGCGUGCUUAACACAUGCAAGUCGAACGAUGACGCCCGAGCUUGCUCGGUCUGAUUAGUGGCGAACGGGUGAGUAACACGUGAGCAACCUGCCCUUCACUCUGGGAUAACCUCGGGAAAUCGGGGCUAAUACCGGAUAUGAGCUCCUGUCGCAUGGCGGGUGUUGGAAAGUUUUUCGGUGAAGGAUGGGCUCGCGGCCUAUCAGUUUGUUGGUGAGGUAGUGGCUCACCAAGGCGAUGACGGGUAGCCGGCCUGAGAGGGCGACCGGCCACACUGGGACUGAGACACGGCCCAGACUCCUACGGGAGGCAGCAGUGGGGAAUAUUGCACAAUGGGCGAAAGCCUGAUGCAGCGACGCCGCGUGAGGGAUGACGGCCUUCGGGCUGUAAACCUCUUUCAGCAGGGAAGAAGCGAAAGUGACGGUACCUGCAGAAGAAGCGCCGGCUAACUACGUG